CCCUUAGAUGUUCUGGGCUGCACGCGCGCUACACUGAAGCUAUCAACACGUUUUCCCUCCCUGAGAAGGGCGGGUAACCUUUUGAAUCAGCUUCGUGGUAGGGAUCGGGGCUUGCAAUUGUUCCCCGUGAACCAGGAAUUCCUAGUAGCCGCGAGUCAUAAGCUCGCAUCGAUUAAGUCCCUGCCCUUUGUACACACCGCCCGUCGCUACUACCGAUUGAACGUUUUAGUGAGGCAUUUGGACCGACGCAUCUCAGUUUAACCGCUGGUUUGUGUUGGAAAGACUUCCAAACUUGAGCGUUUAGAGGAAGUAAAAGUCGUAACA
rnacentral:rRNA from 1 species